GAGAGUAAAACAGUACGUGAAAUUGUUGAAAGGGAAACGCUUGAAGUCAGUCGUGCCGGCGUUGGAUUCAGCUUGCUUCGCGGAGCAGGCGCAUUUCCGCGCAUGGCAGGUCAGCGUCAGUUUUGAGCGGCGUGAAAAGGCUCGGGUAAGGUAGCUCUCUUCGGGGAGUGUUAUAGACCUGGGCAGAUGCGCUGCGCGGGACUGAGGAUUGCAGCGGACACCCCCUCGGGGGCGCGGCGACCGAACCCUGCUCGGCCACCCUCGUUCGAUAGCGUGCUAGCGGACGCGGGAGCGGCAGUGCACCGGAACAGGCAAGCCAGCGGUUCGCUAAGGAUGCUGACGUAAUGGCUUUAAACGA
rnacentral:rRNA from 1 species